rnacentral:rRNA from 2 species
GAGACUUUAGCUGUCUCUUUUUUAUUUUUAAAAUUUGCUGUUUUUGUGAAGAAGCAAAAUUUUUAGAAAAAGACAAGAAGACCCUUUUAAGCUUUACCUUUUUUCUUUCCUUUUUUCUUUCUAGUAUUUUUAGUAAGGAAAUAUGGUUUGGUUGGGGUGACUAAAGAAGAUUGGAUCUUCUUUAGCUUUUUUUGGCUUASAGCCUAAUUUUGACCCGGUAUUUCCGGUUGAAAGAACCAGUUACUAAAGGGAUAACAGCGUAAUUUUUUCAGAGAGUUCUUAUUGAAGAAAAAGAUUGCGACCUCGAUGUUGACUUGGCUUUCUCCUUUUAAGGUG